UACGUAGGGAGCGAGCGUUGUCCGGAAUUACUGGGCGUAAAGGGCGCGUAGGCGGGAAUUCAAGUCAGAUGUGAAAACUGAGGGCUCAACCUUCAGACUGCAUUUGAAACUGGGUUUCUUGAGGGCAGGAGAGGAAAGUGGAAUUCCUAGUGUAGCGGUGAAAUGCGUAGAUAUUAGGAGGAACACCAGUGGCGAAGGCGACUUUCUGGACUGUACCUGACGCUGAGGCGCGAAAGCGUGGGGAGCGAACAGGAUUAGAUACCCUGGUAGU
rnacentral:rRNA from 1 species